AGUUGCGACAACUCCAUUGACUCCAAUGGAACGCUUUUUUUACAGCAAUGGCGGCUCGUGGAGCCUCUUAAUAGUUCCCGGAAGUAGCGGCAAACCGAUGCCGCGCCGUAGAAGAUGCAGCAGAACAAACCGUUUGCGACGCACUUUUAACAGGUGGAGGAUUAGUGGUGCCACUGAAGUGUUCUGUGAUGGAGCAUCAGUGAGGAUGCAGACCCUGGUAACUGGCUGAUGGUUCACAGGAAUGCUGACUGGCUGCUGACUGACUUGCUGCUGGUUGACUGGGCAGUGUCACCUGUCCCUGUCUCUCCUCUCUAGCCAUGUCCUUUUUCUUCACUCUCACUUUCCUUUCUCUGAGUGUCCUCGUUCUUUUUUCCUCAACCUUUGAAACUGAUAGAGGUCUAGGGGUGCAUCGUGGAGCAGGGCCCUCCUCUUUUUGACCACAGGACGGUGUACAAAGAUUGUGGGAAUAGCAUCUGGUCUCAGCCUACUCUUGAAUUUUUUGGUCAUGACAAAUUGCAUUGCCGCAAUUUGUCUGCAUACUGACUUCAGUUUAGUUUCCACACACACCUUUUUUUUUUGUCUACCCACUUACAGUACAUAUCACAUGGUUGUUAAAUGCACAGUUAUAGGUAACACUGAUGACUCCCUGCAAUGUCUCACCAUGAGUCUCAGCUCCCUGGGUUUUGCAAGGCUUUGCUUGUUCCUUAUUUCUAGUAAAACAUUGUCAAUGUAAAAAAGUGCAAAUAAAUGUAAGUAUAAUUACCUAACAAUUUUUUGUUGUUGUAAUUUUUAUUUGUAUUUAGAUUGCUCCUGCUGACUUGAGCCAACCAUUAUUUUCUCCUCUCUAUGUCAGCGGGGAAGCCAUACAUUCGCACACCUUUCUCUGACUGAGUGGAGCAUCCCCAUGCAGCACAGUAAACCACGGUGGAGACUAUGCAAGGACAACAUGAAAGAAAGGACACAUACAAAAUGCUUGUCAUGCUAUUAAAUUUAUUAGAAAUGUAUUCAUGAAUUGCUGUAAAUAGUUAAUUGUAUAAUUACAAUUUAAAAUAACUGUUUUCUAUUUUAAAAUGGAAUAUACUCCUGUGAUGCCAACCUGAAUUUUCAGCAUCAUUUUGAAUGGCAGUGUACAUGUUUAUAUACGAGCAUGCUUAAGUUGUUUUAAACCUGAAUAUAUUGUGUACAUGAAUAAGUAUUGUAAGAAUUAUACUAGAUAUAAUAGGUAUAUUAUUUAUAAUACAUAAUUAUAUUACUAUAUGUAAUUGUAAGAAUUAUAAACAGUAAGCUUCAUUUUACAUUUAUUUAACAUGCUAAUUACUGCUGGUAACAGUUAAUUGACCCAUAGUGCGGAGCGAGCUGAAAAUCACCUGUUACCAGCCUGUCUCUGUACUACCUGAAAGUCAUCGAUAUGACAUGAGUUAACAUUAGAUCAGUGAAAAAAUUGACAAUAUGUAACGUAAAAAGGCAACAGCAACCCGUGUUUAUAAAACUUAACGUUAGCCUGAAAUACGUUUUUAAAAUAACGGUAAUUGAACACUAAUCCUCAAAUAUUACCCGAUUUGAUAUUUUAAAAACAACAUCGCUGUAACUACAUACUCAUGCUACAUACAUAUGUCAGUGUGUUGUAUAAACAUAUAAAAUAAAUGCAUUUAUUGACUCCUUAUUACCAGAAA